UACGGAGGGUGCAAGCGUUAUCCGGAUUCACUGGGUUUAAAGGGUGCGUGGGUGGGCAGGAAAGUCAGUGGUGAAAUCUCCGGGCUUAACCCGGAAACUGCCGUUGAUACUAUUUGUCUUGAAUAUUGUGGAGGUAAGCGGAAUAUGUCAUGUAGCGGUGAAAUGCUUAGAUAUGACAUAGAACACCAAUUGCGAAGGCAGCUUACUACACAAUGAUUGACGCUGAGGCACGAAAGCGUGGGGAUCAAACAGG
rnacentral:rRNA from 1 species